GACGAACGCUGGCGGCGUGCCUAAUACAUGCAAGUCGAACGGAGUGGCGCACGGGUGAGUAAUAUAUAGCUAAUCUGCCCCUUGCUGGAGGUCAACAGUUAGAAAUGACUGUUAAUACUCAAUAGAAAGGGAUGAGACUAUAUCGUAUCAGCUAGUCGGUGGGGUAACGGCCUACCGAGGCGAUGACGCGUAACUGGUCUGAGAGGAUGAUCAGUAAAAUUGGAACUGAGACACGGGUGAAAAUCCUACGGGAGGAAGCAGUAGGGAGUAGUGCGCAAUGGGGGAAACCCUGACGCAGCAACGCCGCGUGGAGGAUGAUCCUUUUCGGAGCGUAAACUCCUUUUGUUAGGGAAGCGGUACCUAAAGAAUAAGCACCGGCGAACUCCGUGCCAGCAGCCGCGGUAAUAC
rnacentral:rRNA from 1 species